UUAGCUGCUGAAGGAGGAGAGUCGCAUUCAGCCAGGGAUCACUGAGCAUUUUCUAUCAAGUGCUGGCUUUCGAUUCCAGUCUGACUUCACUACCACAGGAGCUUCUUGCUCAGGCUUCUGUUCCGGCUCCAUUCUCUCCCUGCCAUUAUAAUGCCAUCCACUGCAGCACCAUCUCUUCAAUCAUCUACAGAAAUGCAAAUUGCUGCCUUCAGAAGGAAGCACACGGGCCUAUGAAUUUUAUAUCAGCAGGGAUUACCAAUGAGUCAUGCUUGAUGUUGUAAAAACUAUUCAGGGAACCGAGAAAAGGGGCAGAAUAAGUGAGAGAAUGAACGAGAAUGAAAAAAAGAAUAGAACCAGUCGGCCAGUGACAUUUUCUAGUGAAACAUAUAUGGGAUGCAAGAAAAGGACUCAGAAAAGCCUUGGGAGUAAAUAUUGAAAUGAUCUUGAAUGAUUUGGCAGGAGAAGAUGUGCCAGCAGGGCUUACCGUAUAGCUCCGAAGGAUGGUGAUGAUGACACCACAGACUGAGAUGGUUUACAAAGGCUUAAUGGAGCUCAGAUAUUUGAGAAAAAAAUAAAAAAAAAAGAUUAACAAUAUUCAGCUGAGAAAAGUGAACACAAACACAUCUGGGGAAAGUAAUCUUAAAUAAAGAUACUCAGAUGGAGAAAAACAUGUGUCAAGCCUGGACCUGGAGUUAAAGGGAAAACAUUCAUGAUCUCAUUCGACCUGAAGCCGGUGCCUUGUAUUCACCCAGCUUAUGCAAUCAGCUACUAUCACAGCAAAGUCCAAAGAAUGCUCCUUGUUAUACUGGAGUUUGGCUUGGCUAAAUAUUAUUUGAAACUGAAUGGC
rnacentral:lncRNA from 1 species